GUCAGUUUGGUGGACUUUCAGUAAAGGAACUAAGUAAGAAAUCAAACGUAAGUACCUAUUUACCAACUAAAUACUGUAUAUUUUUAUUAAUCCCUGUUUGCUAGCUUUGUUUUGAGAGAAUGCUAAAAUUGUGUCUAAUAUUGAGCUUUUCUUUUACAUGUCAACAUCAUUUUCUUUUAAUGCACAAGACUAUAAGAUUGAGUCUAGAAGUAUAUAAUAUACAGUAAAUCAAGGAUCAACUGCUUGUUCAAUGUGACAAAAUAUGUGACAUAUAUAUGUGGCCAAAUUAGCUCAUUUUAUUUCCCAUCAGUAUAAUAAGAUUAUAAAUAUUGUACCUACAACAAAGUUUAACAAGCAUUCUGCCAUUAAAAUAGUUUGUUCACAUUCACGAAAUCUUUGGAAGCUAUAAUAUGUAUGUUAUUUAUCUUUCUGAAAUAAUGGUAGAAAUUUGGUGCAUUUGAAAGUCAAUCUGUUUUGGCAUGUAUAGAUAUAUUUUAGUGGGUAAUUCGAAGCUAAAUUGUAAUUUGAAGUUACAGUCACUUUGAUACCAUCUAAAUUACUAAAUGAAAUACAAAUUCAUAAAUAAAUUGGACCAAUUAAAUUAAUAGCUCAGAAUAUAAAGCCUCUAUAACUAAACUAAAAAUUAUAUUUACUAUAACACUUAAAUCUUAGACUGGCACAAUUUCAGAAAUGGUGUUAAGGAACAGCAGAGCAAGGGAAAUUCCUUAUAAUUAUUUUUUUCUCAUUCAGUAGGCAAUAUGUACAUAUAGUAUGAGUUUAGUUCUCUCUCUAUGUAUAUAUUUAUAUCUGUAUAAAUUUAUCUAUAAAUGUAUCUAUAUGAAUAGAUACCGAAUGCUAAAAACUAAGUAUAUGUAAAUACACUGCAGUAUUACAAAAGUAUCCAUUUCUUUCCUGUUUUGUAUGUUCUUUUAUAUCAAACUAAAUUGUGUCAAACAGUACACUGACAUUUUGUGAGCAAGGAGUAGUAAUAUUGUAAUAUCACAGUUUCGGAUUGCAUAAAUUCCAGCAUGUUUCUCAUCAAACAUUAAAACAUCUCCUUGAUCAAUCUGCUAGGUUAGGUGAUUUUCCAAAAGAUGAUUCAAUGCGUACUCCUUCAUUACAUCAGUAUUUUACAAGCUAGUGAUAACAAAUGUAGAAAUUAAAAUAAUAACAAAACAAAAAAAUAGAUAAUAAAUGUAAUAACAAAUGUAUCUGGCACACUUAGACAACCAAGUUAGAAAUAAAACGUAAGUACAUCUAAUUCAGUGUUGUAUUCAUCAAAUAUUUGACUUUUCCUUCUAUUCUUUUGCUAUUUUAUUUAGUGUAACGUAUUUUCUUCUUUCUCUGUUUGUAUGUGCUUAUUAUGUGAAUAAACUCUAAAUUGUUUCCCGGUUAACUAUAUAACUCCUGGAUCAAUCCUAAUUGUCAAGUGAUUUUUAAAUAGACUAUUUAUAUUGUAUUCUUUACUUCCAUCAGUAUUUUACAAAUCUAGUACUAAUAAAUGUACCCGGCACAUUUAGACAGUUAGGGUUUUUGUACUACGAGUAGAUAGGAAGUAAGUGCUGUGGUACACUUUUGGUCGUGGAACCAAGGUAGAAAUCAAACGUAAGUACAUCUAAUUCAAUGUUCUAUUCAUCAAAUAUUUUAAAUUUUCAUCUGUUCUUUUGCUCUGUUUUCAUUCGUUUUUUGCCUUUCUUUCUCUGUUUUUAUGUGUUUUAUAUAAAACUCUUUUAAAGGCUCUUUAAAACUCUUGUAAAAUGCAUUGGCGUUUUAUAAGGAAAAAAUGAUAAUAUUGUUUUUUAUAGAUUUAAUUUUAAAGUCCAUAAACUAGAACAUUUACAGGCUUUAGGAUUGCAGGUUUUUAUAUGACACGCACAUAACAAGUAAGCAGUGUUGACCACUUUCAAUAAAGGAAUCAAGUUAGAAAUUAAACGUAAGUACAUCUUGAAGACUAUUUUAUCUGUUUAAAUGUUUUCAGAUGUAGUUUUUCUAAUUUAUUUGAAAUAAAAAUCAAGUAUGUGUGGUUUAUGCACUUACCUGAAGAUCAUGCAACUUACAAAAAAAAAAAUUGCACUAAAAUAGUUAAGUUAAAUACUUUCUCAUAAAAAUCAAAAAGCAUUUUUUUUUCAUUUUUUACUAUUUUAGCUUAAAUUUUAAAAAUCCAUAAUCAACGUGCCAAAGUAACUGAUUGAAUAAGCUCUAAAAUAUUUUACAUUUAGCUAUAUCUCCUAGAUCAAUUUUUAUUGUCAGGUGAUUUUUGAAUAGACUAAUUCUUUUGCAUUCUUUACUUUCAUCACUAUUUUACAAAGCUAGUAAUAAAAAAAAUAUACCCGACUCAUUUAGAUAGUUAAGCUUUUUGUACUAUGAGUAUAUACGGGAAAUAAGGGCUGUGGGACACUUUUGGUUGAGGAACCAAGUUAGAAAUAAAAUGUAAGUACAUCUAAUUCAGUGUUCUCUUCAUCAAAUAUUUGACUUUUUCUUCUAUACCUUUGCUGUUUUAGUUAGUGUGAUGUAUUUUCUUAUAUCUCUGUUUUGUUUGUGCUUUUUAUAAAACUCCAUUACAAUUACAUUCUAAACUAUCUAAUUCAAUUUUGUAACCCACAAGAAAAACAAGUGGAUAGUGUAUAGGCGCUUCGUGAAUAUAAAGAUAAAAGUAGUGGUAGAUAUUAAAGUGUUUUCCCGAACACAAAUAAAACGUGAAUAAUAAAGGCAAGAUUUAUAUCAAACCACAAAUAAUGUAAACCAAAAAGUGAGAUAGUGAUAAUAAAUAUAUACAAAAAUACAACAAAUACAGGUUGUAUUUUUGUAUAUAUUUAUUAUCACUAUCUCACUUUUUGGUUUACAUUAUUUGUGGUUUGAUAUAAAUCUUGCCUUUAUUAUUCAAUGUUGUAAUCGUCAAUAUUUUUCUUUAAUUUUUGUUCUUUUUUUUUUCUUUUUUUCUUUUUAGAUACUGGUAUUCAUUUGAGUCCAAAAUUCAAUUUGACACGGACCAAAUCUUACCUUAUUUUAUAUAUAUUUUUUUAUAUAUUGAUUUCUUCUGUAGGAUUUGUUAAAUUACAUUUGUUGCCUUUUUAUAACUAAGGCCUCGAUUUAAUAUUUUUGAACAAGUGUUUCAAAUGAUUUAAUAUUUUUGGAUAAACUUUCAAAACGACUUAAUACUUUGAAAAACAAUGUAAUAUUUAAAAAAUGUAUACUAUUUUUUUUAUAUUCAUAUAUUUUGUGUUUUAAUAAUUGCUAAAAAUCAUUUAAAAAGUUUAUUUAAAAAUAUUCAGGCAUAUGAAAUGUGUAUUAAAAAAUUAUUAAAUUGAGACCUAUAUUAGAAAAUCAGUUAGGGUGCUAAACAAUGCUGUAGAGUAUUUGUAAGGAAGUCUAACUGCAAUGUGCCAUAGUGGUUUGUCUUUGGAACGUGAUCUAAAAUGUGGAUGAAAAAGUAAGUCGAAUUAAAAGCAGUUUUACAAAUAAGCACUUAAGUCCCAAAAAACAUGUGAAAUUCACUUGUCAUAGCUUUAUAAUUGUGAUUAAAAAUGUGUGUGUGUAUAUAUAUAUAUAUAUAUAUAUAUAUAUACACACACAUUUUAAUUCUCGUUGUAUAUUUUAAAAAUAUACUUAUAUUUUAAAUAUACUUAUUGUAUAUUUUAGAACACUAAAAUGCAACUAAGAAAACAACUGAUACAGGGAAAACUAAAGAAACAAAUUAUGUUAUAUAAUAUAUUACUAUCUUUUUAAUAAUUUAGAUAAAAACAAUUAGAUAAGCCACAAAUUAAAUUUUAUGUCCAGAAAUGUCCAGCUGAAAUGAAUAUAAAUAGAGACUUUGCAGACUAGAUUUCUCAAAGUAAAUACUUAAGACAAGCUGUGAGUUUAACUUAAUUUAAAAAAAUAUAAAAUUGUUCAUAAACCCAAUACAAUAUACUUAAUUUUUCAGGCUACUAACUUUAAAACUGUGCUUUAAAACUCCCAUUUGUGCCAACUACAUCAAAGGAUUGCCACGGUUAAGAGCUCCCCAUUGUUUAAAAUACUAUUCACGUAGUAGUUUAGCCCAAAAUUUCAGUAUUGAAAUAAAAUAUCUUAAUCAGAUGAAUGUAAUAUUUUACCCAGUCAUUUAAAAUGUAUGUUAAAUGUUGGUUAUCAGCAUUUAUUAAAGAGUGAUCUAGAAAAUCCACAUACGUUUAUUAACAAAACUCACAGUUUAGUUAAUAAACAUAUGUGUAUUUGCUAUAUCAGUCUAUCAGUAAUAAAUGCUUCACUGACUUGUUCUUCACUAGAACAUUGCACACCUGCUAUUCAGGUCAUGCCUCACUAGCUAUGAAAUGAGAACCACUAUAUUCAUUCUAUUUCUAGAAUCCCAGCUCUGUAACAAGCGUGUACAAUUAUCUUAUUACUGUUAUCCGUGGAGGGGAUUUUCACAACUUGCUAAAACACACUAACCAGGUUUUCUAACUACACUUUGUUAUUCUGCAUAGGCUGUAGGACAGUUAUGAUGUUGGACCUUCUACAAGGCCAAACACAACAUGGGAAAUUGAGUCUAAAAAGAUCUGAAGUCCUAUGUUUAGCCAUCAUAACUGUAGAAUGUACCACUUACACACAAUAGGAUUAAAAGGAAGGUUGGCUAAUUGUAGUUUUAUUGUUCAUAACAGUCUUUGAUAGUUUUCAGGUUGCGUUAUCUAUUACAUCCUAUGCUAACAAUAUAAUUUAAAGUGUUUAGCUAUAUCUUAAAUAAUAGAGUCAUAAUCUUAGAAGUGCAUCCACAGUCUUUAGAUAAUCAAAAAACAAUAUCCCACUACAUAGUUUCAGAAAUGAAAUAAUGAAACAAGUCUUUUUUGCAGCCUCUUACUCCCAGGCAACUCCUUAACUGUAACUUUCAAAAUUUACAGCUGAAAGUAUAUAUAAUAUCAAAGUAUUCAAUCUGAAAAUGUAAAUUUAACUAAUUUUUAUACACAUCUUGGGUAAUGCAUGAUCUUUAAUAAUAAUAAUUAUUAAUAUUUAUAAAUCGCCAACAAAUUCCACUGCGCAGUUUAAUGGGUGGACUAACAGACACGUAAGUGUAACCAGACGAGUUGGACUUACUGAGAGGUUGAGGGCCCUGCUCAAUCCGCUUACAUGCUAAAGGGUCAUUCAAUAAUGGUGGCUGAGCGCUACAGACUACAGAUCACAGAAGCUAAGCCACAUGUGUGAGCAUUAUAGAAACCAUCAUUCACAACAUACAAAGUAUAAAAAUACCCAUCAGUUAUACUAUAGUAGUUGUGCUAGUUAGCACUUUGUCCCAGAAUUUUUAAGGGUUUUACUUUCAUAGAUGUGUCCGUUUGUCUCAGCAUUAUGGUUAGAGUUAGCUAAUUCAUUCAAUGAUUAAAUAAUUGAACUGAAAAAGUGCACAAUUAAAUGGGAAAUAAAUAUAAAUUAUGCAACUUUCUGGGUGUCCAAAAAGAACAUUUUUUUUUAAUACUUUUAGGUUUAUUUACUAAACAGAAUUUGGAGAACUGAAAAAAAUAUCUUUCUUUUUACAAAAUAAGCCAUUUAUGAAAUUUCAUUCUCAUUUCUCAAUAAUUCUCAAUUUAAUAAACACAUCGAUUAGAGUCACACCAUCCUUAAAAUGUUUCAUGCUUUUCAUUGUUUUUAUUUAUUUGUUAUCUGCCUCUUAGCUAAUCAAUGCUAUAUAUAUAUUUGUUUACAUUCCUUUACCAUGCAUAACCAUAUCCUAACUUUGUUUUGUCUUUUAUUAAUUUUAUAGGAGCAAAGGAUGCUAAACCAUCAGUCUCUAUAUUCGGUCCCUCAGAGGAACAGAUUGCAACAGGAAAAGCAAGCAUUGUGUGCCUUGUCAGUGACUACUACCCAAGAGGUGCCAACGUGCAAUGGAAGGUAGACAAUCAGGCGAAGUCUUCAGAAGUGGCUACAAGUGAUGAGACAGCAGAUGAUAAGAGCUUAUACAGUAGAAGCAGCAUUCUGAGUAUAUCUUCAAGUGAAUGGAGUAGUCAUGAAACGUUCACUUGUGAGAUUACACAUAAAACAUUCUCAACACCACUGAUCACAAGCUUCAAGAAAUCAGAGUGCUAAAUGUGAUAGAUUCGGAAAGUUAAAUUCGUACGACUUAUUUCUAGAAAUUCAUUUUAUUUUCUUUCUUUUUGCUAUUUAAAUAUCCACGUACAUCAUCAUCUUUUCGCACUCAGUUCAUGUACAAUGUAAGACAGGUUGAGAUUGUCGUGUAACAAGUUGCAGCAAACAUUGUCACAGUUGUUCGCAAUGUUCUAUAUUAUUGUAAAGCUUUUGAAAUUCAAGUCAAAUAUUUUUUUCAUCUUUCUAUCUAUA